CAGCCGCCACGGUAAUACGAAGGGUGCAAGCGUUAAUCGGAAUUACUGGGCGUAAAGCGUGCGUAGGCGGUCUGUUAAGUCUGCUGUGAAAUCCCCGGGCUCAACCUGGGAAUGGCAGUGGAUACUGGCAAGCUAGAGUGUGUCAGAGGAUGGUGGAAUUCCCGGUGUAGCGGUGAGAUGCGUAGAGAUCGGGAGGAACAUCAGUGGCGAAGGCGGCCAUCUGGGACAACACUGACGCUGAGGCACGAAAGCGUGGGGAGCAAACAGGAUUAGAUACCCGCGUAGUCCCUGUCUCUAUACA
rnacentral:rRNA from 1 species